UGAGAGGGUGAUCGGCCACACUGGGACUGAGACACGGCCCAGACUCGUACGGGAGGCAGCAGUAGGGAAUCUUCCGCAAUGGACGAAAGUCUGACGGAGCAACGCCGCGUGAGUGAUGAAGGUUUUCGGAUCGUAAAGCUCUGUUGUUAGGGAAGAACAAGUACCGUUCGAAUAGGGCGGUACCUUGACGGUACCUAACCAGAAAGCCACGGCUAACUACGUGCCAGCAGCCGCGGUAAUACGUAGGUGGCAAGCGUUGUCCGGAAUUAUUGGGCGUAAAGGGCUCGCAGGCGGUUUCUUAAGUCUGAUGUGAAAGCCCCCGGCUCAACCGGGGAGGGUCAUUGGAAACUGGGGAACUUGAGUGCAGAAGAGGAGAGUGGAAUUCCACGUGUAGCGGUGAAAUGCGUAGAGAUGUGGAGGAACACCAGUGGCGAAGGCGACUCUCUGGUCUGUAACUGACGCUGAGGAGCGAAAGCGUGGGGAGCGAACAGGAUUAGAUACCCUGGUAGUCCACGCCGUAAACGAUGAGUGCUAAGUGUUAGGGGGUUUCCGCCCCUUAGUGCUGCAGCUAACGCAUUAAGCACUCCGCCUGGGGAGUACGGUCGCAAGACUGAAACUCAAAGGAAUUGACGGGGGCCCGCACAAGCGGUGGAGCAUGUGGUUUAAUUCGAAGCAACGCGAAGAACCUUACCAGGUCUUGACAUCCUCUGACAAUCCUAGAGAUAGGACGUCCCCUUCGGGGGCAGAGUGACAGGUGGUGCAUGGUUGUCGUCAGCUCGUGUCGUGAGAUGUUGGGUUAAGUCCCGCAACGAGCGCAACCCUUGAUCUUAGUUGCCAGCAUUCAGUUGGGCACUCUAAGGUGACUGCCGGUGACAAACCGGAGGAAGGUGGGGAUGACGUCAAAUCAUCAUGCCCCUUAUGACCUGGGCUACACACGUGAUACAAUGGACAGAACAAAGGGCAGCGAAACCGCGAGGGUAAGCCAAUCCCACAAGUCUGUUCACAGGUCGGAUCGCA
rnacentral:rRNA from 1 species